CCUACGGGAGACAGCAGUAGGGAAUUUUCGGCAAUGGGCGGAACCCUGACCGAGCAACGCCGCGUGAACGAAGAAGGUAUUCGUAAUGUAAAGUUCUUUUAACAGGGAAGAAAGAGAAAUUUGACGGUACCUGAAGAAUAAGCUCCGGCUAACUACGUGCCAGCAGCCGCGGUAAUACGUAGGGAGCGGGCGUUAUCCGGAAUUAUUGGGCGAAAGGGGUGGGUAGAUGGCAUAGUAAGUCUUUUGUAAAAAUGCUGGGCUAAACCCAGUAGGGCAAAAGAUACUGGAAAGCUAGAGUAUGACAGAGGCAAGUGGAACUAGAUGUGUAGCGGUAAAAUGCGUAAAUAUAUGUAAGAACACCAGUGGCGAAGGCGGCUUGCUGGGUCGAUACUGACAUUGAGGCUCGAAAGCGUGGGGAGCAAACAGGAUUAGAUACCCGUGUAGUC
rnacentral:rRNA from 1 species